rnacentral:lncRNA from 1 species
AAUAACCACCGAAUAUAGGGCUACUCAUAGGGGGAAAGAAUGAAAAAUUGCAUUGACCGCAACUAUCGGCACCGAAUAUUUACCGGAAUAGUGUGAUUUUUCAACCGUGGAUGUAUUUCAACAUUCUCGUCAUAUCUUAUUUCAUGACUUUUUGGCGUUUGAAGGUUUUACGUAUAGUUUGUUUUUGAAACAGAACAUUUACAUAACACUUGGUAAACAAGUUAUACAACAUUAGUAUGCAUGUUGUGAUUGUGAUGAUCAAACUUGAGAAAAAUAAAUCCGACCAUCAUGAUAAUAUACAUGUAUGGGAAAAAAUUCAACUUGAUCCGACAAGAAUAGGGGCUCAAUCUGGACGGUCAAUCUCGUAAGUCAAACCCCUAAACGCACGGAAAAGGUCGUUCGACCGUCUAAAUUACGUAUUUUGGCCGGACCUCCAACUGAAAAUAGUUUCAAACCGAUGAGACGCAAGAAGUCGUCUAAAAAUUUUACGGAAAAUAACAACCGAAGAUAGGGCUAUAGUAGGUAAUAGAAAAAUUUUAGAGUUUAGCCGACGAAUACCUUAAUGUAUUCGUCGGCUAUAGUAUGUAAUUAAAAAAUUAAAAAAUAACUAAACCCGACGAAAUAUUAGGUUAUUCGUCGGCUAAAACUUUAUUAGCCGACGAAAUACACUAUAUACCGUCGGCUAAGAUGGUUUUAGCCGACGAAAUAUACUAUAUACUGUCGGCCCUAAAUACACAUCGAGACACUUCCCUGGAUAACCGGAAUCAACAAACUCAACAUAUUGUAUUCCUUCUUCAUGCACAUCUAUGGGGAAGGUUGUACGGUACUAAAAUCACCGGCCAUACACUGUAUUGAAGACUUAUGUUGCCAAAAGGGUUGAACCCGUCGGAUGAGAGCCCGAGCCUCACAUUCCGGACCUCUGACGAAAAAUGAGGAAACUCCCUGUCUAUAUGCUUCCAAGCCUCCCCGUCAGCAGGGUGUAUAAGGGUAUUUUCGUCAUGCAAUUCUCUAUCAGCGUGCCAUCUCAUAGCUUCGGCCGUGUGUGAAGACAUGUACAACCGCUCCAACCUAUCCCUCAAAGG